ensembl:lncRNA
CUCGCUAUAUAGCUCAGGCUAGCCUCUAACUUGCACUGAUGCUCCUGCCUCAGCUUCCUGAGUGCUGGAAUUACAAAUAUAUAUGAUGCCACACCCAGCUUGAUUUUAUACUUUUUCUUUUUUCUUUCUUCCUUCUUUCAUUAUUCUUGUACUUGAGUAGAACAGACUGACUACAGAUUUAUUCUGUAAAAAUGUUGGGUUUGGAUUCAUACAAGCUUCAGGACAUGCUACCCCAAGUUACGAGUAGGAACCAGAAUAUUCCACUGUCUUAGCUAUCCGUCGCUGACAAAGUUCCUGAGAAAAUCAGUUUAAGAGGAGAGAUGUUCCUUUUGGCUCAUGGUUUAGGGUUUUUUGUCCAUAAACUCUUAGCUCUCCAGUCUUGGGUCUGUGGCAUGGCAAAACAAGGCAACAGCACUAUCUAAAUGUAACCGUUCUAGGUUCUCAUUAUCCCAAAGAACUAAGACACAAAAAUAGAAGUGAAAACAGAUGGGCCAAGAUACGCUCCUCAGGACGGGUGCGGCUAGGAAAGAGGUCGCACCCUAGGUUUUUACAGGGAGGGCGCCGCGCUUUGAACUGGUGCCACACUUCAUUCCAGAGACAUCUCCUUUCUGUUGGAGAAAGGGAUUUUUGUGCCUACAUGGAUCUCUGAGGCACUAUCAUGGAGCCGAAGACGGGGGGAUGAGGGGUUUACGCUGGGUCACUUUUAGUCAUUUAGGAAAUUCCACAGCAGCUGCGCCCCAGGCAUGGCUUGGUCGUUAGAGGUGGGGCCUCUCUGUGGUUUCCGGAGAGCUCAUCUCGGGGCAACAAAAUCCUGGAGGACAGGUGCCCUUCGUCUUCCCUGACUGUGGUGCAGCUAUCAGGACCAGGCACUUCGUAGGUUUUGGAGAGCCAGCUUCCUCUUUCUUCCUCUGCCCUUCAGCCUCCCUUCUUCCAGGAAUCUCUCCUCUCCACCUCCUCCACCAGUAGAUGUACGCCGGAAAACGCUUCACCUCCAGCCCAGCAGCGAGAAGAGAGAAGACCAGAAGUGUGGGGGUCCGGGAUAUCCGCUUUCGGGCCUCGCCCCCAGCGACCUCACUUCCGCCCAGCAGGCCCCUCCCCUCGAAGACUCCCCCACCUCCACUUGAGCCGCAGGCUGCGGACCGAGCCCCUAGCACGUCGGCCGGAGACCCGGCUAAGGCGUAAACGGGCACGGUGUCAACGUAUUCCCUGUAGCUGGGCGCUCCCCUCCUACCCACGGUUGGAUGACCACGGGGCCCGCGAAACCCCCGCUCUGCGGGUGGACCCCAAGUGAGCAGGUGGGCGAGGGGAGUCGUCGCCUCCACGGGUCCCGCCCCUCCAGCCCGCGGACCGCGGCCCUCACCGCCCGGGCUCUGCACAUUCAAUGCCGCUGAGUUUCGGGUUCAGGAAGCGGUUUCAGGGGCGCCGGGCCUUCGCGGUCGUCCCAGCCGGCCCUGGACGCUCAGCGCCCCUAUCUUUGAGUCCACGUGGCCAAUCUCCCCCGCCGCUGGCCGCGUGGCCUAAUGGAUAAGGCGUCUGAUUCCGGAUCAGGAGAUUGAGGGUUCGAGUCCCUUCGUGGUCGACGUUUUUCCUUCCUGUGCUACUAGGCGGAAGGAGAUUAAACUGAACGACGGUUAAGUCCGGUCGACAUCCGCUGACGGCGCACACGGUGCCUGCGUCACACCACCACGAGCCUUAUCAAUAUUCCCAUUUCACGGAGGCAGAAACCGAGACCUAAAAAGCCCUUGCUCAACUCCAGUCUACUUCCUGUCUCUGCAUGUGUGCCUGUUCUACACAUUUCACGUAAAUGGAAUUAUUCGGCGGGAGUGUAGCUCAGCGGCAGGGUGAGUGCUUACCAUGUGUGAGGCUGGGGUUAGAUAUCCAACACCUCCAAGAAUACACAAAAGAAUACCUGUCCACAGCAUCAAUCAAGAUUGCAAUAAAGUUUCUGAGUCACAUGGCAAGUCUGGUGUUGAUCACUCCACAGUCCUUUCACCUUCCUGUGAGGUUCACAACAGUUUUCCCAGUUCUGUGGUCAUCAGUGAUUCCAAACUUGCCAAUUUAACUGUGCUUCAUCACCAUAGUUAGAAAUAACACAAUGGAUCUGGAACACAGCCUAAAAAUCUGGCACAUUUUUCUGACAUUGUUGCUGUCCUUGGAACCAUAAGCCAGCAACCCCCUCCCCCGGAAUAGUCCCAGCAGCAUGGAAGGAGCAGGACCAGGAAUCCUGCAAAAUCAGCUGCAUUUACCAUCAUCCAACCAAGCAGCCCUCUCCCUGACAGCAUGCAUGUGUAAGGAAAAUAAAAAUGCAGCUUCAUGCUGAG